rnacentral:rRNA from 1 species
AUUGAACGCUGGCGGCAUGCCUAACACAUGCAAGUCGAGCGGAUGAAGGGAGCUUGCUCCUGGAUUCAGCGGCGGACGGGUGAGUAAUGCCUAGGAAUCUGCCUGGUAGUGGGGGAUAACGUCCGGAAACGGGCGCUAAUACCGCAUACGUCCUGAGGGAGAAAGUGGGGGAUCUUCGGACCUCACGCUAUCAGAUGAGCCUAGGUCGGAUUAGCUAGUUGGUGGGGUAAAGGCCUACCAAGGCGACGAUCCGUAGCUGGUCUGAGAGGAUGAUCAGUCACACUGGAACUGAGACACGGUCCAGACUCCUACGGGAGGCAGCAGUGGGGAAUAUUGGACAAUGGGCGAAAGCCUGAUCCAGCCAUGCCGCGUGUGUGAAGAAGGUCUUCGGAUUGUAAAGCACUUUAAGUUGGGAGGAAGGGCAGUAAGUUAAUACCGUGCUGUUUUGACGUUACCAAAAGAAUAAGCACCGGCUAACUUCGUG